rnacentral:lncRNA from 1 species
UUGUGUUGCGGUAAUCAACGGUUCAGGCAAGUUUGUUCUUACUUAACUCUAAUAAGAGUGUUUUAUUCAAGCUUAUGGUUAAAUCAUUGCUGAUUGCCAUGAAAAUUGUACUCUGUACAUCUUGCAUGUAUAAGUCAGGUAUGAAAGGCUGAUCACCUUCAUUACCAGUUGGUUCAGAAAUGUUUGUUCAUGUUUAAAACUUGUUCAGUCAAAAGUUUGUUCCUGCUAGUUCUCAAUUAUAUUGAUGAAUUAUAGCCAGCUUAUUAUUCAUACUCUUCAAUCAUGAUAUAUCCUUAUAUUGUUGUAUUUAAACUUGCUGGG